rnacentral:SRP_RNA from 1 species
ACCGGGAGCGUGACGUCUCCUGUAACGCGGCUACUCGUGGGUCGGAUUACGGACUGAUUUGAGGGCGGAAGAUCUGUAUGCUGGACCAGGCCAUGUUGACGGGACGUACGCACUUAGCUGGCCGUCAAUAUGGGUGUCACGGAAGAGUCCGAGACAUUCAGGUUGGCUAAGGAGAGACACACCGAGCGAGGGGUGAAACAUACUUCAACCACGUAACCAAUUUUUCAUCUUAACAAUUUUUAACAGGUUCUCACAUAGCGAUCUCAAAUUGAAAAUGUUUCAAAAUCACUCACGAGAACUU